rnacentral:rRNA from 1 species
AUUGAACGCUGGCGGCAGGCCUAACACAUGCAAGUCGAGCGGAUGAAGAGAGCUUGCUCUCUGAUUCAGCGGCGGACGGGUGAGUAAUGCCUAGGAAUCUGCCUGGUAGUGGGGGACAACGUUUCGAAAGGAACGCUAAUACCGCAUACGUCCUACGGGAGAAAGCAGGGGACCUUCGGGCCUUGCGCUAUCAGAUGAGCCUAGGUCGGAUUAGCUAGUAGGUGGGGUAAAGGCUCACCUAGGCGACGAUCCGUAACUGGUCUGAGAGGAUGAUCAGUCACACUGGAACUGAGACACGGUCCAGACUCCUACGGGAGGCAGCAGUGGGGAAUCUUGCGCAAUGGGCGAAAGCCUGACGCAGCGACGCCGCGUGGGUGACGAAGGCCUUCGGGUUGUAAAGCCCUGUGGGGCGAGACGAGCAGCUUGGGAGCGAACAGGUCCUGGGUCCGACGGUAUCGCCUUAGCAAGCACCGGCUAACUCUGUGCCAGCCGCCGCCGUAACAC